rnacentral:lncRNA from 1 species
GGGGGUGGGAGCGUGGGAGGGGGGCUGCCUCCUCUCUCUCCUCCCUCUACCCCUCCUUUCUUCUCUCUCUCUCUUCCCCUCCCUCCUCGCUUACCUCGCCUCUCUCCCUCUAUCUCUCCCUCAUUUCCUUUCUUUCUCUUCUCCCUCUCUCCUCCAGUCCCCCCCCCCACCCUCUUUCUUACUCUCCCCUCCCUCUCUCCUCUCCUUCUCUCGCCCUCCCUCUCUCUUCUCCCUCUCCCUUCAAGUCUGGCACUGAACGCGAACUGUUUUGCUUUGCUCCGAGAAGAGUGCAGACACAGAACGUGAAAUCCCGAGCUUUUUUUUUUUUUUUGCGUGGUGCAUUUAAAACGCUUCCUUAUUUAUAUUACCCUCAUUCCCUCACCUCUCCCACCCCCUCACCAGCCUUUCCAAAUUUCCCUAGAAAUCUCUAUAAAGCGUGCGGAGGGGAAAACAUUUGCACAAAAAGUGAAGGAGCUCGCCAAGGAGUUCCCGUUUGGGUAGUCAAACCUGCCCUGACACCUGGACGUCUGCAUGAGGGGUGGUCACUGAAGGAGGAGUUGUCAGAGGCCAUAGGAGCUAAAGAGUCUGUGCA